GUAAAAAACAUCAUUAGAUUAACGAUUUCAUCUCAUUUCACUUGGCCUUCAAGUGAUUAGUUAAUUGGUCACCAUUUCUAUUUUAAUCAUUUCUUAAUUGUCAACAUGUUCCAUCUUCUUGUAUCUCUUAAUUGAUUGUUCACAUUUAAUCAAGUCAACAAUCAACUCGAUUGUACAUAUUGGACAUUGGGUGUUGAUACUUUAGGGCAACAACGUCCAAUCAUCAUCAUAAUUAUCUUCGCUUCUUUGUAUCUGGAGACACAAUUUACUUUUCUCUCUCCAUUAGGCAACAAGUCUUUCGUUUCAAAAUGUGAUUUAAUUUGAUUUUGAUGACCAGAGAUCUAAAUCAAGCCCCAUCAGCUUACAAUACAAUGGUAAAUAGACAACCAAUCAACCAAUCAAUCAAUAAAAAAAAAGGGCUAACCAUCAAUCAAUCGUUGGUAUAACAUCACCACAGACCAAUGGAUAUCCAAUCUUGUGUGAAUCAAGGUAUUUGUUUUACACUCAAUAGACACACACACACACACACAAUUCCAGGUCCAUUGUUUUAUCCUUCACUAAAUUGUUAAUGUUUAUCAAUAUUUAAGAAUGAUACUAAUCAAACAUUAAUGACUCCUUUUUCCCCUUAAUUAUCCUUAAUUUGAAUCACUUAAAUUAAGCUUCACCAAUACACUCACACACAUAUAAAACUCACGCCUCGUCACAACGAAAAUCUGAUGGAAAAGGGAAUCCACCAACUUUUUAAUUUCUUUUCUAAUUCAUAUUCAUAUUGUUUUCUAAUAUUAUUUUUUUUUCCUCUAAAUUCAAUGGUUUCCCUUUGUUCUAGAGAAUCAGAGAAAUAAAGAGGUUUAUGGUUAAGCGAUCAGAGGAUAAAUCAUUUUAGGCUCAUAAUCAUUACACUGGAGGAAUUAAAAUUAAUAAUGAUCCUGAUUAACUGGAAAACAUGGUUAACAUAAUUGCUGAUAAUUGGAAUCAUGAUUGUUACUCUUAAUAUCUCAUGACAAACCAAUCGAAAUUGUGAUUCUGAUUGAAAGUACUAAUCGAAAUUGCUGGCACAUCUAUUUUCCUGUUCUCUGUUGAUUAUAAUUAUCUUUUAAAUGAUUGUCACAAUUAAUCAAUUGUAUGUUAUUGAUUUUCUCCCAUUUUUACUUUGUUUUGGUGAAAUUGUGCUGAUCAUAUGACGAUAACAAUCAGCAUCGUUAUUGGUAUUAUACCGAAACGAUUGUAAACUAAUAUUUCGUUGUAACUUGUAAAUUGUUGAUUGUAUUGAUUUUAACAAUUUACACUCUAAAUUGUAAUUGAACAAAUACUCUUUCAAUAUAUGUUAUUAAAUUGUAGUAUAUUCGAGGAGGAAAUUGUCAAACAAUUAAAACUUUGCAUGACUUUUACUUAUA